rnacentral:rRNA from 1 species
CCUACGGGAGGCAGCAGUGAGGAAUAUUGGUCAAUGGACGAGAGUCUGAACCAGCCAAGUAGCGUGAAGGAUGACUGCCCUAUGGGUUGUAAACUUCUUUUAUAUGGGAAUAAAACGUUCCACGUGUGGGAUUUUGUAUGUACCAUAUGAAUAAGGAUCGGCUAACUCCGUGCCAGCAGCCGCGGUAAUACGUAGGAUCCGAGCGUUAUCCGGAUUUAUUGGGUUUAAAGGGAGCGUAGGUGGAUUGUUAAGUCAGUUGUGAAAGUUUGCGGCUCAACCGUAAAAUUGCAGUUGAAACUGGCAGUCUUGAGUACAGUAGAGGUGGGCGGAAUUCGUGGUGUAGCGGUGAAAUGCUUAGAUAUCACGAAGAACUCCGAUUGCGAAGGCAGUUCACUGGACUGCAACUGACACUGAGGCUCGAAAGUGUGGGUAUCAAACAGGAUUAGAUACCCUAGUAGUC